rnacentral:misc_RNA from 1 species
UUUNCGUUGGUGAACCAGCGGAAGGAUCAUUACAGAGAUCAUGCCCUCUAAGGGUAGACCUCCCACCCUGUGUUAAUACUCUUGUUGCUUUGGCAGGCCGCCUUCGGGCUCUCGGCUCCGGCUGAGGUGCGCCUGCCAGAGGACCCCAACUCUGUGUUUAGUGUCGUCUGAGUACUAUAUAAUAAGUUAAAACUUUCAACAACGAAUNUCUUGGUUCUGGCAUCGAUGAAGAACGNAGC